AAAACUUUCAACAACGGAUCUCUUGGUUCUGGCAUCGAUGAAGAACGCAGCAAAAUGCGAUAAGUAAUGUGAAUUGCAGAAUUCAGUGAAUCAUCGAAUCUUUGAACGCACAUUGCGCCCGCCAGUAUUCUGGCGGGCAUGCCUGUUCGAGCGUCAUUUCAACCCUCAAGCACAGCUUGGUGUUGGGACUCGCGUUAAUUCGCGUUCCCCAAAUUGAUUGGCGGUCACGUCGAGCUUCCAUAGCGUAGUAGUAAAACCCUCGUUACUGGUAAUCGUCGCGGCCACGCCGUUAAACCCCAACUUCUGAAUGUUGACCUCGGAUCAGGUAGGAAUACCCGCUGAACUUAAGCAUAUCAAUAAGCGGAGGAAAAGAAACCAACAGGGAUUGCCCUAGUAACGGCGAGUGAAGCGGCAACAGCUCAAAUUUGAAAUCUGGCUCUCGGGCCCGAGUUGUAAUUUGUAGAGGAUACUUUUGAUGCGGUGCCUUCCGAGUUCCCUGGAACGGGACGCCAUAGAGGGUGAGAGCCCCGUCUGGUUGGAUGCCAAAUCUCUGUAAAGUUCCUUCAACGAGUCGAGUAGUUUGGGAAUGCUGCUCUAAAUGGGAGGUAUAUGUCUUCUAAAGCUAAAUACCGGCCAGAGACCGAUAGCGCACAAGUAGAGUGAUCGAAAGAUGAAAAGCACUUUGAAAAGAGAGUUAAAAAGUACGUGAAAUUGUUGAAAGGGAAGCGUUUAUGACCAGACUUGGGCUUGGUUAAUCAUCUGGGGUUCUCCCCAGUGCACUCUUCCGGCUCAGGCCAGCAUCAGUUCGCCCUGGGGGAUAAAGGCUUCGGGAAUGUGGCUCUCUCCGGGGAGUGUUAUAGCCCGCUGCGUAAUACCCUGUGGCGGACUGAGGUUCGCGCAUUCGCAAGGAUGCUGGCGUAAUGGUCAUCAGUGACCCGUCUUGAAACACGGACC
rnacentral:rRNA from 1 species